rnacentral:rRNA from 1 species
AGUCGAGCGAAGCGAUCGAGAUGAAGUUUUCGGAUGGAUUCCUGAUUGACUGAGCGGCGGACGGGUGAGUAACGCGUGGGUAACCUGCCUCAUACAGGGGGAUAACAGUUAGAAAUGACUGCUAAUACCGCAUAAGCGCACAGUACCACAUGGUACGGUGUGAAAAACUCCGGUGGUAUGAGAUGGACCCGCGUCUGAUUAGCUAGUUGGUGGGGUAACGGCCCACCAAGGCGACGAUCAGUAGCCGACCUGAGAGGGUGAUCGGCCACAUUGGGACUGAGACACGGCCCAAACUCCUACGGGAGGCAGCAGUGGGGAAUAUUGCACAAUGGGGGAAACCCUGAUGCAGCAACGCCGCGUGAGUGAAGAAGUAUUUCGGUAUGUAAAGCUCUAUCAGCAGGGAAGAAAAUGACGGUACCUGACUAAGAAGCCCCGGCUAACUACGUGCCAGCAGCCGCGGUAAUACGUAGGGGGCAAGCGUUAUCCGGAUCUACUGGGUGUAAAGGGAGCGUAGACGGCAGCGCAAGUCUGAAGUGAAAGCCCGGGGCUCAACCCCGGAAUGGCUUUGGAAACUGUGCAGCUAGAGUACCGGAGGGUAAGCGGAAUUCCUAGUGUAGCGGUGAA